rnacentral:snoRNA from 1 species
UAAACUAUAUUUUUCAGGAAUCAUUUGUAUAGUUUUUUGUUGGGGGGAGUUUUUCGGGACGUGUAGAACGUUGGAAGCACGAGGAGGAGUUGUUGAGUUAUGUUUGAGUGUAAAGUUGGUUCCUUGGCGAUCGUUCUUGUUUCUUUCUCGGUGGAUGAGAGAGAGAGCGCUGUCCUGAGUGGU